rnacentral:rRNA from 1 species
GAUGAACGCUGGCGGCGUGCCUAAUACAUGCAAGUCGAGCGAACAGACGAGGAGCUUGCUCCUCUGACGUUAGCGGCGGACGGGUGAGUAACACGUGGAUAACCUACCUAUAAGACUGGGAUAACUUCGGGAAACCGGAGCUAAUACCGGAUAAUAUAUUGAACCGCAUGGUUCAAUAGUGAAAGACGGUUUUGCCGUCACUUAUAGAUGGAUCCGCGCCGCAUUAGCUAGUUGGUAAGGUAACGGCUUACCAAGGCGACGAUGCGUAGCCGACCUGAGAGGGUGAUCAGCCACACUGGAACAGAGACACGGUGCAGACGACUACGGGAGGGAGCAGUAGGGAAUGUUCCGCAAUGGGCGAAAGCCUGACGGAGCAACGUCGAGUGAGUGAUGAAGGUCUUCGGAUCGUAAAACUCUGUUAUUAGGGAAGAACAAAUGUGUAAGUAACUAUGCACGUCUUGACGGUACCUAAUCAGAAAGCCACGGCUAACUACGUG